AAAGGUAUAGCUCAAGUGUAGAGCUCAUGCUUAGCAUGCACAGGGUCCUGGGUUCAAUCCCCAGUACCUACA
rnacentral:tRNA from 1 species